rnacentral:rRNA from 1 species
CCUACGGGAGGCAGCAGUGGGGAAUAUUGGGCAAUGGGCGCAAGCCUGACCCAGCAACGCCGCGUGAAGGAAGAAGGCUUUCGGGUUGUAAACUUCUUUUAAGAGGGAAGAGAAGAAGACGGUACCUCUUGAAUAAGCCACGGCUAACUACGUGCCAGCAGCCGCGGUAAUACGUAGGUGGCAAGCGUUGUCCGGAUUUACUGGGUGUAAAGGGCGUGCAGCCGGGCUGACAAGUCAGAUGUGAAAUCCCGCGGCUCAACCGCGGAACUGCAGUUGAAACUGUCAGUCUUGAGGACCGGAGAGGUCAUCGGAAUUCCUGGUGGAGCGGUGAAAGGCGUAGAUAUAAGGAAGAACACCAGUGGCGAAGGCGGAUGACUGGACGGCAACUGACGGUGAGGCGCGAAAGCGUGGGGAGCAAACAGGAUUAGAUACCCGUGUAGUC